UAGCGGUGAAAUGCAUAGAGGCCACCUUAGAGUACGUUAGCUUAGGCUACAUUGUAAUACCUUUACUGAUUCUCAGUGUACGAAACCGUGGGGAGCAAACAGGAUUAAAUACCCUGGGAGUCCGCGCCCUAAACGAUGAUCACUAGCUAUUGGAAAAACGAUAUUCACUGGCUCAACGAAAGCGAUAAGUGAUCCACCUGGGAAGUAUAGUCGCAAGAUUGAAACUCAAAGGAAUUGACGGGGGUUCGCACAAGCGGUGGAGCAUGUGGUUUAAUUCGAUGAUACGCGAGGAACCUUACCAAGGCUUAAAUGUAUUACGAAUAAGCUGGAAACAGCUUAGUCUAUACGACGUUUUACAAGGUGCUGCAUGGUUGUCUUCAGUUCGUGCUGUGAAGUGUUUGGUUAAGUCCUAUAACGAGCGCAACCCCUAUUGUUAGUUGCCAUCGGGUAAAGCUGGGGACUCUAACAAAACUGCCUGUGUAAACUGUGAGGAAGGUGGGGAUGAUGUCAAAUCAUCAUGGCCUCUAUGCCUUGGGCUACACACUGCCUACAAUGACUUCCCUUUAAAUUCCA
rnacentral:rRNA from 1 species